rnacentral:rRNA from 1 species
UACGUAGGGUGCGAGCGUUAAUCGGAAUUACUGGGCGUAAAGCGUGCGCAGGCGGUUAUGUAAGCCAGAUGUGAAAUCCCCGGGCUCAACCUGGGAAUGGCAUUUGGGACUGCAUAGCUAGAGUAUGGCAGAGGAGACUAGAAUUCCUGGUGUAGCAGUGAAAUGCGUAGAUAUCAGGAGGAAUACCGAUGGCGAAGGCAGGUCUCUGGGUUAAUACUGACGCUCAUGCACGAAAGCGUGGGGAGCAAACAGG